CAUGUAAAUUUAAGUGUCCGUUUAAAAAACAAUAAUAUAGUCUGGAACGCAGUACACCUUUUUAUGUAAAAAUUACAGUUAGUAAUUUUUCACUAUUGUGUAUAUAUAAUAAUUUAACAUUAUUUUAUUGUAUUCAUACCAAUAUGGAUGUUAAUCCCUGUACUGUGUGUGGUAGUACAGAUUUAAAUCUCAUCGAUGGUUAUUAUUAUUGUGUUGAAUGCGGUACUCAAGAUUCUAAUGUAAGGGAGACUAUGUUUGAAGAUAGAUACUUAGAAGAUGGCGGCAAUUUAUUUGUCCAGAAGAGAACUAAAAUUAAGAUAAUUAAAGAAGACGUCAAAAUGUGCGGAGAAUGGCACAAAUGGCAUGCAUAUAACUGUAUUUUGGCUGGAUUAACAGAGGAAUUGAUCUCAAUUGGAGCUAAACCAAGUAUCAAAACGAAAGUACUUUGGUUAUGGUCUUUGUAUAUGAAAAAGUAUCAGAAUAAAAAGGAAUUAGGGUUAGGAGUAGAAGAUAUUCAGAAUGAUACAAGUACUAGUCAAGAUAUAGACAAUGUUGAUAUUAGAGGAAUAAAACGGAAAAUCCCUUUAGGAAAUGAUGUAUCUUUUGUAUGUACUCGAUUGUUACUUACAAUCCUAUAUUUGGCACUUCAUUUUGACUGUAGUGAUAUACAAUUAACCCAUUUGCUAAGAUAUGUUCAGGAGGGUAAACUUAGCUUCCAUACUUGUACCAAAUAUCUACCCAUAGACAUUGAUGUGUCUUUAUUUAGUGUAUACAAUCGGUCACUUUGUUUAUAUUAUGUUCCUUCAAUGCAAUUAAUGCGUUUCCAUGCUAUGUCUUUCAUAAAAACAUUUUCAUUGGAGGCACCUGUACUACAAAAUGUAACAAAUCUUGUUGAUCAAUAUAUAAGAGAAUUAUGUCUUCCUAAUGACUUUAAAAGACUUGUUUAUUCUUUAAUGCAUUAUUUCUCUCCAAAUAAAUUUCUCAUAAUUGACCAUGCUAAAAAAAAAACCAAUACACAAAUGCCUUUUUACGAAUGUACUGUAAUGUCAUAUAUUUUAUUUGCACUAAAAAUGUGCUUUGGUUUAGAUGAUGUUUAUGAUGUAAAAUUGUCAGAGAUAGUUGAUAAUAUCAAUCAAGAGAAUGCUUAUAUGAAAUCAUAUAAAUUGGGAGGCUCUUCUGAAUCAUCUGACAGAUUAUUUUCUUUUCAUGAAUGGUGUAAUUUUCUACAAUUCAGAAAAAUAAUACUAUGUAAAUAUUGUUGUUCCCUUGCUGAGUUAUAUUACAUUGAUACAGAUGACUAUGUUUUUAUGGAACAGAGAAAAGUAAAGAUACCAUGUAGAAAAAAACCAUCAUUUAGUGAUAAAACUACCAUGAACAUUUUAGAUAACAUUCCAGUAAAAACAGAAUUUGAAGUGAUUCCUAAGAGUAAGUUUGUCCCUACUUUAACACCUCUAACAACUUAUACCGACAUUGUACUACAGUAUUAUAAAGAUCCUGAAUUAAGGUUGUUACUGAGUGAAGAUUUUACUCAAUACUCUAUAAAAUAUGCUUGUUCCGACUUAAAGCUGUAUUCACAAGAUUCUAAUAAUGCUGUUGUAGGCAUCAAUAUUAUCGAUCAAAAUAUAAAAUCAGGAAUCCUUGGCCUAUUAAAAGGUAAAGUUUAUGAUACAGAAAUGGUUUUUAUAAGACACUGUGAUAACAAAAAUUGGACAAAAACGAAUAGGCCAACAUUAAAACACAUAAAGAAAGUAAACAAUUAUGAAAGCGAUAAAGAAAGUGUUUAUACUAAUGAUUCUACCGAAAAUAUCGUAGUAACCGAUUUUAAGACGGCUAGGAAAUCAGGUGAUACACAAAUUACAGAAGAUCAUAGAGAAAUUGAAGAUACUAUUAUUGAAGAAGAUAAAGAUGUAAAUAUUUUUGAUGAUAAUUUUCUAGAUUUUGAAAAAGAAAUAAAAACAGAAUUUCCUGAAGUAGCUCCAGGUGUAGAAAAUUCUUUUGAAAACACUGUACAGUAUAAUGAUUCACGCAAUGAAGAUGAAUUAAAUAUUGAAAUAGAAAAUAUAAGCUCCAAAAGCACGCAAGUUUCUGAUGCUGAUUAUUUUUACAAUCCAGAUACUUUUGAUAGAGAAAAAACUAUUGAUGAUAUAAUAUUAUUUACAUGCAAAAAAUAUAAAAUACCCAUACCCUUAAAAGAAUCUAAACCAAAGGAACCUAGAAAAAGAAAACCGAAGUUUAUUAAUGAUGAAGGAGAUGUAAGCAAAGCUAAAAGAACAAAGAGAUCAACUAACCAUAAAGACGUUCAAAAACAAAUUAAUGAUUUACUUUUUGCUUAUUAUAGUAAUUUACAAAAAGAUAAAUUAAAUACAGUAUCUGCAAACCUUAAGAAUUUAAUUCAAACGUAUGACGACGAUAAAAUAGAAGAUGACUUAGUAGCCAAUGAAUUAAAUGCAGGUUAUAAAGCCAAUGAAGUAAUUACUGAUACCCAAUUCAUUAAUGAACAUCAACAAAAUUCUGAGGUUCAAUCAAUCACUGAAGUCACGGACAUAAACCAAACUGGAAAUUCAGAUAUAUUAGAUAUUCCUGAGACUAAUGAUAAUAACUCCUUGUCGUCAAAUUGUAAUGAUUUUAUAACUGAUCCUAAAUUUGAUGAGGAGGUUUAUGAUGUUAAACAACUAUAUGUGAAAGUACCUCAUGUAGAAGAAACUGAUUUAGAAAAUGUAUUUAAUACCCAUGGGGAUCCCAAUUUAGAAAAUAUUUUAGACAAAAAAAUCAAAGAAGGCUUGAACAUUCAUACUGAAAAAUUAAAAUCUGACGUAGAUAGCUUUUGUUCGGAAGAUGAAAUUCCUUUAAGUGUAAUUAAGAAUCAGAAGAAAAUGAGAGCUGAAUUAAAAUCUAAAACUCUUAAUUUUUUAAUAAAAAAUAGAGAAGAAAUAAAAACGUUUAAUUAUUGGACACGAUCCUAUCCAAGAGUAGUGUCAAAAACAGGAGACUUAAACAAUAGAUUUAUUGCGGAAUUACAUGAGAAUUUUCCAAAAAGUUUUGCAUUUAUAAUGGAGGAGUGUGCUGGUAUUCUGGGAUGUUCUUCAGCUAAUUUAUAUAGAAGUUUCAACGCAUUAGAGCAGUCUUUAUUGCCUAGUAAAUAUUAAGCACAUUGUGGUAACAACUAAUUAUUGUCUAUUUAUUGAAAUUAUGUGAGUGUUAUUGUGAUUUAUUUACCGCUUUAUUGACUCUAAAGCACAAAUAUAGCCAACAUUCUUCGUAUGUGAAUUUAUGUACCUGACUAUCCAGUGUUGGACACACCAAUUACAAACCUAUAGUUACCCAUUGAUAUGUAAGUUAUACAUGUUGUUGUUAAAAUUAGAGUAUAACUUCGAUGAUUGUAGAUGUUUGUGAGGUUUCUUUUUGUUACUCAUAACACGGAGUUUUCACUAAAAAUGUUUUGUAUCAAGUAAAAGCUAAUCCACAUUCUUAUAUAUGUACCUACUUAUAUGAAAAUCUAGCGUCACGAUAUUAGUGCGGGGGUAUUAUUAUUAUUAAUAAAAAAUAGUCCGGUCCUGUAACUCCUAAUGUUGACUGAGAACCAUAUUUUGUAUCUUAAGUUUAACCUGCAAAUCGUCCUUAUCUUAUCACUUUUACCUUAGAAUAAAUUAGUUAAAAAAUGUUGAAUGAUAAAAAAGCAUAUAAGAUUCUAAAGUAAAUUUAGAUUUUGUAGUGGUCUAAAAUGUAAUCAAAUGAAUCGGUAGCUUACCUUUUUAGACACUGACAAUUAAUUUUUCUUUUGUCGGGUUACGUCGUCAGCCUAAAAAUAAAAGCCAAUACCUAUUUAAUCACAACUUCUCAAAGGACGUAUCUAAUAAACAAAAUGUUUGGAGUUGCAAACAAAUAUAGGGCUGUUAUGCAAGCAAUUGGUCGUCCUAUGUUUAUUGCUCCUAACCGAAAGGCGACCCAAGUGGGCAUGAUAAUUUCUACUCCGCCAAGGAUUCCUGUAUCGAAGGGAGAACAAAUGGUACAUGUUUUAUUCAUUUUAAUGGUUUGGUUGAGUCCUAUGGCUUACUUUUUAAGUCAGUUGAAAGUUUGGCGUCGUGAAUACCUUCAAGAUUAAUUUUUUUAUUAAAAUAAAUAUUCUCUAACCGUUUA